UAGCCUCUUCGACCACCUCCUACUCCUCUCUAUCUUUGUCUUCCUCUUUCUCUAGCUCUCCCUGCCUCCAUGCUCGCAAAGUUCUCAAAAUCGCUCAACUGAGGCCUAUUUGUGGUGGCUGGCUGAUUGGUGUUCAGUUUUGUUCUGGGGGCCUUCAGACGGACAGGAAGUCGACCCCCUUCCUCUUGUUCCCACCUCUGGGAUCGGGGUUCUCCCCACGGAACCCAGAGAACCGCUGCACGGCGGCAACAGGGGUCCUCCAUCAGAAAGAAAAACGAUUGGCCACAGGAGAUCUUCGUCACAUCAGAAAGAAAAAACGAUUGGCCACAGGAGAUCUUCGUCACAUCAGAAAGAAAAAACGAUUGGCCACAGGAGAUCUUCGUCACAUCAGAAAGAAAAACGAUUGGCCACAGGAGAUCUUCGUCACAUCAGAAAGAAAAAACAGAAAAGAAAAGAAAAGACAUUCGACCACAAAAGACCAAAACAGUGUAGAAGUGUUAGUAGGUAUAAGUAGAACUCUUGAUCCCGUGAGGGGAAUUUGGUCUCUGCAUUUAUCCCAGUCUGUGAAUUAGU